rnacentral:rRNA from 1 species
UGGGGAAUAUUGCACAAUGGGCGCAAGCCUGAUGCAGCAACGCCGCGUGAACGAUGAAGGUCUUCGGAUCGUAAAGUUCUGUUGCAGGGGAAGAUAAUGACGGUACCCUGUGAGGAAGCCCCGGCUAACUACGUGCCAGCAGCCGCGGUAAUACGUAGGGGGCUAGCGUUAUCCGGAUUUACUGGGCGUAAAGGGUGCGUAGGUGGUCUUUCAAGUCGGUGGUUAAAGGCUACGGCUCAACCGUAGUUAGCCUCCGAAACUGGAAGACUUGAGUGCAGGAGAGGAAAGUGGAAUUCCCAGUGUAGCGGUGAAAUGCAUAGAUAUUGGGAGGAACACCAGUAGCGAAGGCGGCUUUCUGGACUGCAACUGACACUGAGGCACGAAAGCGUGGGUAGCAAACAGG